UACGGAGGAUCCAAGCGUUAUCCGGAUUCAUUGGGUUUAAAGGGUGCGUAGGCGGAAUGAUAAGUCAGUGGUGAAAUCCUUCAGCUUAACUGGAGAACUGCCAUUGAUACUGUCAAUCUUGAGUACAUUUGAUGUGGGCGGAAUGUGUCAUGUAGCGGUGAAAUGCUUAGAGAUUACAUGGAAUACCAAUUGCGAAGGCAGGUUACUACUAAUGGAUUGACGCUGAUGGACGAAAGCGUGGGUAGCGAACAGG
rnacentral:rRNA from 1 species